GUAAUUGGCGGGCUGGAUACAGGCCGCUCUGGUCGUGGUGGACAGCGGUGAGGGCUCUUGUUUUCGCAGGCGUUCAACCGCCUUAAUUACGC
rnacentral:tRNA from 1 species